AUUCCCCACUGCUGCCUCCCGUAGGAGUAUGGACCGUGUCUCAGUUCCAUUGUGGGGGACCUUCCUCUCAGAACCCCUACUGAUCGUAGCCUCGGUGGGCCGUUACCCCGCCGACUAGCUAAUCANACGCGAGCCAAUCCGUCACCUCCGUGAAUUUCAACCAGAGGAGAUGCCUCCUCUGAUGUUAUGGGGGAAUAAUCCAACGUUUCCAUCGGUAAUACCCCGGUGACGGGCAUGUCGCUCACGCGUUACGCACCCUUUCGCCGGUCGCCGCCAGUUGUAUUGCUACAACCGCGCUGCCCCUCGACUUGCAUGUGUUAAGCCUGCCGCCAGCGUUCAUCCUGAGCCAA
rnacentral:rRNA from 1 species